CCUACGGGUGGCAGCAGUGGGGAAUAUUGGACAAUGGGCGAAAGCCUGAUCCAGCCAUGCCGCGUGUGUGAAGAAGGCCUUCGGGUUGUAAAGCACUUUCAGUGGGGAAGAAAGCCUUGGGGCUAAUACCCUCGAGGAAGGACAUCACCCACAGAAGAAGCACCGGCUAACUCCAUGCCAGCAGCCGCGGUAAUACGGAGGGUGCGAGCGUUAAUCGGAAUUACUGGGCGUAAAGCGCGCGUAGGCGGUCUGAUAAGCCGGUUGUGAAAGCCCCGGGCUCAACCUGGGAACGGCAUCCGGAACUGUCAGGCUAGAGUGCAGGAGAGGAAGGUAGAAUUCCCGGUGUAGCGGUGAAAUGCGUAGAGAUCGGGAGGAAUACCAGUGGCGAAGGCGGCCUUCUGGACUGACACUGACGCUGAGGUGCGAAAGCGUGGGUAGCAAACAGGAUUAGAUACCCGAGUAGUC
rnacentral:rRNA from 1 species